AGGUCAUUACAAAGAAAGCUUGUGGGGCUGUGAAACGAGGGGCUUUUAAUGCAGUGACCAAAGAUUGAUAUUCUCCAUGGGAAGGUACAGUCAUGAUCAUGACAUAAUUCAUGACUGGUGCUGUGGGAAGGUAAAUAA
ensembl:snoRNA